UACGGAGGGGGCUAGCGUUGUUCGGAAUUACUGGGCGUAAAGCGCGCGUAGGCGGCUUUGUAAGUUAGAGGUGAAAGCCCGGAGCUCAACUCCGGAACUGCCUUUAAGACUGCAUCGCUAGAACGUCGGAGAGGUAAGUGGAAUUCCGAGUGUAGAGGUGAAAUUCGUGAGAUAUUCGGAAGAACACCAGUGGCGAAGGCGACUUACUGGACGACUGUUGACGCUGAGGUGCGAAAGCGUGGGGAG
rnacentral:rRNA from 1 species